AGAGGCUAAAUUAAAGCUGAGUUAGAGAGGGCUUCACCAGCAAACCAAAACAAAGAAAGAUUUCUCAAAGAGAUUUCUCAAACGGAUGCAAUCAAACUGAUGACAAGUCCCCACAAAGAGAACCCAAAAUACAGGCAUUAAGAUUGGACUCAGACAAAGGACACCUGCACGGAGAACCUGAGGGCAAGUCCUGCGGUCAAGGUUGAGAGAGAGGAAGACUCUGAAAUCAGAAUGCCUGAAUUCAUCGGAUCCAGGCUCCAACACCCUGCCUGCCUCAGUGUUCUCAAAGAAUGCAAAUGAGAAUAGUAUUUACCUGGAGACCUACUAUGAGGGUUACAUGAGAUCACGGAGAUAAAGCAUUUCACCGAAUGUCUGUCUUACAGGAAGUGCUGAAGCAUUCAGAAUGUAACAAAAAUGAAAAUACCAAAUUUCAACACCUAAGGGAGGCAGUUAAAAAUAAACAGAAAAAUCUUAUAGUGUUUUUCUUUAAAUAAUAUAUUUUAUUUAUCCCAGGGGUUCUCAGCCAGGGGAGAGUUUUAAAUGCCUUCAUUGUUCAAGGACUGGAAUGCAUAAACUAAUUGCAGCAGAGUCUGUGGGUUCCCUGCCCAGAUCCUCAGGGACCCUCUAUCAGCUGUGGCAUGUGCUCCUGCUAAUGACCUACCCCUGCACGGGUCUGCAGUGGGCUCCCCUUAGAUGAUUUCCCCACCCAUGGAUGCCUGAAGUUAACCAAUCAACAGCCAAUUCCAUUGAAUUGGUGUGCUUCUAUUCUACUCAAAAAGACUUCAAAAACCACAAGAAAGGAAAACAAGAAAAUAUACACAUAUUUGCUCAUUUGUGAAAGAAUAAACCAGAAACUAAUGUGACUGGUGACUUGAGUAAAAACAGGGUGGAAAAAUGGGAGAAUGGAAAUAGGAUACAAUCGCAAGUGGGGUGCCUGACUUAAGCUUUGAUAUUCAAGGCAUCCGUUUCAAAGAGGCAACCACUUCAAAGAGGGCUGUCUGGAAUAAGCACGAUGCCAGCCACAGGACUAGAUCAAGAGCCAGGUCUCCUCCCCACCUGCUCAGCCCCUUUCCUUUAGCGAUAUUGGUAGAUUUCCAUAGCUGGCCAUUUGGGCUGCUUCUUUUUUCUCUUCGCACACUUCAUAUUCCUGCUCCUCUUUUAAAUUCACCAAUAAAGAGUGAACCCUUGAAACUCUAACCCCCACCCUCAACUCUAAUAAAAGCAGAACCCCAGCUCCA